UACGUAGGUGGCAAGCGUUGUCCGGAUUCACUGGGCGUAAAGCGCGCGCAGGCGGUCUUCUACGUCUGGGGUGAAAACCCGGGGCUCAACCCCGGGACUGCCUUGGAUACGGGAGGACUUGAGGAUCGGAGAGGCAAGGGGAAUUCCACGUGUAGCGGUGAAAUGCGUAGAGAUGUGGAGGAACACCUGUGGCGAAGGCGCCUUGCUGGCCGAUUUCUGACGCUGAGGCGCGAAAGCGUGGGGAGCAAACAGG
rnacentral:rRNA from 1 species